AAAAAAUGUCCCUACUCUCCCUUAAACGAAAUUCUCUCUGCUGUUCUCAUUCUUCAUGACCAUCAUGGACCCCGGUUCAUGGAGUGAGAAUGUUUUAGUCUGCCAAGAGAAAAGUACAAUGGUAAAAGAAGCUCUUCUGGAGAAAACUAUAUUUGCUGAAGAUAGCUGAAGAUGGGCCGCGGAAGGAAAGGCAUUAAGUGCAGCCAAAUGGUGUGGCUCUGCAGUGCUUGGUAAUCAGGCAGCACAUGGGGCCUCCUAUGCAAUUCUGCAAAACUCUGUCUAUUGCUGAGGCAGUCUCCAUGGUGAUCCAUGGAACGGGAGCAUGUGAGAGAGUGGGGUUA